rnacentral:lncRNA from 1 species
GCCCAGGUGAGCUUCCACAGCAUCUGCUCCUCAGGAGUGGCUGACCGGGAUGCUCCAGCUGUGUCUCUUCGCCAUCGUGGACCAGGAGAACAACCCAGCACUGCCAGGAACACACGCACUGGUGAUAGGCAUCCUCGUGGUCAUCAUCAGGGUGUACCAUGGCAUGAACACAGGAUAUGCCAUCAAUCCGUCCCGGGACCUGCCCCCCCCGCAUCUUCACCUUCAUUGCUGGUUGGGGCAAACUGGUCUUCAGAACAUACAUAUGAUAGUUGAGAAAGACACAUAUUCUGAUCAUGAAGAAAUAAACACAAGUUAAAUAUGACUAAGCAGAAAGAUGGAAGGACCAGGAACAGUGAUGCUAACUUGGAACCACGAUGCAGGCUCUAAUCUCCUCUACAAUCAUCCUCCCUUGUGAGAAAAAUACUUGAUCUGAAGGUCCCAGCAAGGAGCCGACUCACAGAAGAAUGCAGUUUUCACAUCGUGAUGAUUUAAUCUUCCUUGACCUGAGCAAUUGACAACCCCAAUUCUCCAGAACCUCACCCGCCACAAUCCCCUUAAAAACCCUGGUCCAGAACCCCUCAAGCAGACAGAUUUGAAGCUUGAGGAUUCCUUCAUCUCUUUGCCCAAUGGCAUUGUGAUUAUUAAACUCUUUUUCUGCUGCAAAUUAUGAUGUCUC